rnacentral:lncRNA from 1 species
UUCAGGUACCAACUUCUAAAUGCAUUCAUAGUAUCCGGUCCACAAAGGUUCAUCUCCAAGGAUCCUCUCUUCAUUGGCAUAAAACAGUUCUAGGUUCAAAACAAGUCCAGCUGCAUGCAAAGGGCUAUGGAGCUUACUAUCCCACCUUUUAUCUAUGAUCUCAAAGACUCUUUUGUAUUUUCUUUGAUCACUAAAAGAGUCGAGAAUAGCCUCUUUUGCCCUAUCAAUUGCUGUGUACAAGUAGCCCAUUGGUGGCCUUUCUCCCCAUCCAACAAAUGAAGCACUUUGACUAAAGGACCACCAAUCUUCAAUGCAUGAACCACAUUGUUCCAGAAUGAAGUAGAAAGAAUAAUAUCUGCAGAUUCUCUCGCUCGAGCUUCCCUUCCAUAGGCACUGCUAGUGUACUCUUCUGAAACAAACAACUUCUUGAAAUUGCCUUUUUGCUCAUACAUCCUAGCCAAAGUCAAGAAAGCAGUAGCAAAUCUUGUCUUUGCAGGUUUCACCAAGCUUCUUUGUUGAGUGAAUCUCUUCAUCAUCAAUAAUAAAGGCCUUUGAACAAUAUAUGAAUGCACUCUAACUGUCUGAUUAAAGAAUGUACUGAAGGAUCUUUCCGUGAAAAUAUCACCAAAGAUCAAAUUAACAGAAUGUGCUGCACAAGGAGUCCAAUAGAUAUGCGGGUACGCAGUAGACAUCAAAUCACCAGCUUUAACAUUUUCACUGGCGUUGUCCGUGACAACUUGAACAACAUUUUCUGCUCCAAUAGAGUCUAUUGUAUUCUUGAACAAUGAGUAUAUUUUGGUUUGAAUCAGUUUAAGAGUCACUUGCAUCAACGGACUCAAGAAACAAGCUUCCAUUAGGAGAAUUCACCUAGAUAUUGAUGAUCAUUUUUCCAUUUCUCACCGCCCACUUAUCCAUCAUAAUGGAACAACCAAACUUGUUCCAUUGUACUUUGUGCUCCUCCACGAUUUUGUUAACCUCUGCCACCUUUUUUUUUAAUAUUUGCUCCAAUAGAAUCUAUUGUACUCUUGAACAAGGAGUACAUUUUGGUUGACUCAAGAAACAGGCUUCCCUUAGGAGAAUUCACCAAGAUAUUGAUGAUCAUUUUUCCAUUUCUCGCCAUCCAUUUAUCCAUCAUUAUGGAACAACCAAACUUGUUCCAUUCUACUUUGUGCUCCUCCACGAUUUUGUUCGCCUCUUCCACCUCCUUUUUUAGAUAUGGGCCACUAACUUCAUAAUAAGUUGGAGGCUUCAUUCCUGAACCAUAUUGGCCUACAACCUCAAUAAAAGCAACAAAAGUGUCCGUAUAAUUAACACAAUUAAAAGGAAGACCUGCAUCAUACAUCCACCGGGCAAAGCAGGAAACUGCACGGUCCCUCAAAAUCGCUUUUGCAUCAACUUGAGGAUGUCCACUUAUCCAUCAUAAUAGAACAACCAUACUUGUCUCAUUCUACUUUGUGCUCCUCCACGAUUUUGUUCACCUCUGCCACCUCUUUUUGUAGAUAUGGCCACUAACUUCAUAAUAAGUUGGAGGCUUC